AAACAAGGAACAAAAACCUAUACUUACCCUCCUUCAUCAAACUUCAACCAUGCUCCUAACCACUAAACUUGACAAUCUUGAAUAAUGUGGCCUAAGAAGAGUGACAUGGAGGCAGGAGGUCUUAGACCAAUUCCAAUGGCGUUGGAAAGUCCAGAGCAGCUCUGGUUCUUCAUUCGUAAAGUUUAUUCAAUUAUAGCCAUACAAGUGCUUGUGACGGUUGCCGUGGCAGCUACAGUUAAUUUCGUUGGUCCUGUCACACACUUUCUUGUGCAUACUAAGGCCGGGUUGGCUCUCUACAUUGUCAUCAUCUUUAUUCCCUUCAUUGUUCUAUGUCCAUUAUACUACUAUUACCAGCUGCGUCCUGUAAAUUAUAUUCUCCUUGGGGUGUUUACUAUUGCACUCGGAUUUGUGGUCGGACUCACCUGUGCAUUCACCAGCGGAAAAGUUAUCCUGGAAUCUGCAACUCUUACCGCUGUAGCUGUGGUAAGUCUCACCCUGUACACGUUCUGGGCAGCAAGGAGAGGCCAUGAUUUCAGUUUCCUUGGGCCCUUCUUGUUUGGUGCCUUCAUUGCUGUUCUGCUGUUUGCUCUGAUUCAGAUUUUCUUCCCCCUGGGCAAGAUCUCUGUGAUGAUCUAUGGGUGCCUGGCAUCAAUCUUAUUUUGCGGAUACAUAAUAUACGACACGGACAACUUGAUUAAACGUUAUGCUUAUGAUGAGUACAUUUGGGCUGCAGUUUCUUUGUAUAUGGACAUCAUCAAUCUCUUCCUCUCUCUCUUAACUUUUUGCAGUGCCCAGGAAGGAUAGCUAAAGAAGAGGUAUCAUUACUGGGUUUUCUGUUUCUUCAUUAUGCAUUUCAGUUUUAGAAAUUGAAUUUUUGAAUUAUUUUAUAUAAAGUUGUUUUCCUGUAAAAAAGAAAAGAAAAUCUCAAGUUGAAUUAUUUUUCAUGGCAUGUGAUCAGGCCUAGCAACUGCAGAUUUCUAGCUUCAUGUAGGCUUAUUAAAAUACUGACGGUUCAGGGCUCCAGGAUGGACAAAAUACAGGAAUUCAUUUAUAGAUGAAUUCUAAAUUUCUAAUUCAUUUUAGCUAAAUGAUAUAAUUCUGCAGAAUGGCUAUGGCCUACUGCGGUAUUACUCACAGGAACAAAUUAACAACUCAUUGGUUCAAUAGAAUCACAAGCCUAAGUAAUUGUCUUGGUUCUGAAUUGCCCACUGCUCUUCUUCCAUUGGGAGACAAUGGAGAGAAGCUUGGAAAUCCCAUCAGUCCACAUAUCAUGUUCUCUCUGGUUCUUGCACUCGAGUUCUUCAAUACCUCUAGUUGCAGUUUUCAAUCCGAAGUAUCGACGCUCGAACAAGUGUCUUCCAGGCCAUGCUGGCAUGUUCUUGCACAUUUCCAACACCACAUUCUUGUUCUUUUUGGUGAUAGUCCCUGCAACAAGUCUGCUUUUCAUCUUCAGCAUCACCUACAAACUGACCCGAUGGGUGAAUAUAAACAGAGACAAAUUUCUAAUGUAGAUCACCUUUGCGGGUGCGUUUGAGAAGCUCACUGCCCCUUGCAAGAAAAUCAAGAUUACAGCCAACCCAGAAAGUUCUCUUCAUAGACAACCUCGCCGCUAUAGUUUCUGAUAUGAUGCCCAUUAUUAUUCCCUGCCCCUCAAAUUCCCAAACCUCCUUCCCUUGGUAUCACCGCUGGAACGUUCAGUAUCUUUUAAGGCCUCCUCCAAAUGUAGUACCAAACAAGUACUUAGUCCUCUUGCCUUCAAGGUUGAUGCCCCGCGAAGAGCUGCACAAGAACGAAAAAAUUCAUCAUACAGGAAAUAUUUGCAAAAAUUUCUCACUUGCUGCGGAGAGAACUAUCAUUUCCAGUAGCUGCGGCUGCUGUAAGAGUGGUGAUAUCAUCACGAGAACGAACAUUCACAGCAGCGCUCACCACUGAAGUGAGAUGGUCAUGCUCAGGCCCCAUGCCUUCCGCUGCCUGCACACAUCGUGCAGCCACCAACGUAGUCGCAGUUGCGACAGCUAUGUGAGUCUUGCCCAGCUGUUCGUUUCUUUCUGCUGCUGAAGAAGAAGCCGUGGCUGCUGCUAUAGCCGCUACAGCAGCAGCCACAGCAGCUACUGAAACCGCAGCAUGGAGCUUGCGCAUUGCGGGCUCUGGUUUCUUCUUUCUUCUUCUCUUUCCUGUCCUUCAACCACCUCCCAACAGUCUUCGUCCCAGCAGCAGUGGUGCUACAGCUGUUGCCUGCGCCGGCGCAACCGCCAUUGAAUGGGGUGGUUAUGGUGUUCUGUGAAUGGAAAUA
rnacentral:misc_RNA from 1 species